rnacentral:rRNA from 1 species
UAAGGAAUAUUGGACAAUGGAGGCAACUCUGAUCCAGCCAUGCCGCAUGAAGGAAUAAGGCCCUAUGGGUUGUAAACUUCUUUUAGACGGGACAAAACCCCUUUACGUGUAAAGGGUUGAUGGUACUGUCAGAAUAAGCAUCGGCUAACUUCGUGCCAGCAGCCGCGGUAAUACGAAGGAUGCAAGCGUUAUCCGGAAUUAUUGGGUUUAAAGGGUGCGUAGGCGGACUAAUAAGUCAGUGGUGAAAGCCUGCAGCUUAACUGCAGAAUUGCCAUUGAUACUGUUAGGCUUGAGUACAGUUGAGGUAGGCGGAAUGUGUCAUGUAGCGGUGAAAUGCUUAGAUAUGACACAGAACACCGAUUGCGAAGGCAGCUUGCUAAGCUGUAACUGACGCUGAGGCACGAAAGCGUGGGGAGCAAGCA